GUAACGAAUAGUCAAGGUGCGAACAAAUCAACGCGGUUAGCACGCUGCACAAAGCGUGACAAUAAAAAUAAAUUCUAAAAAUUACCAAAUUAAACGCGAAUUCUCUCAAAUUAUUGCCAGUGAUAGGUCAAGUGUAUUGCCAUCCAAGUGCGUUGGCCAAUUACCAGUUGAGCCACAGCUACAGCUCUCUGCGGGCAGUGGAAAUUACGGCAUCGGCCAAGAUAUACGACAGGAACGCGUCCUAUGCUACGCUCUUUGGCAAAGGUGUGCGUGUGUCUGUGUGUGUGAGUGCUUUGAGUGAGAGCACGCGAGAGUCGAACGCAUUGGUAUUGGUGCCUACGACAACGUGCUACGUGGCGCGUGGCAAAACAUUCGACUUGUUUAAUAAAUAAUACCCCCUUAGAAAGCCAAACUGACAACAACAACAACAACAACAACAGCAGCAACGAAAGUGUGACACUAUUUACAAACAACAAUAUCAACAGGAUUUGAAUAGGCUCGCGUUAAUUGAACACCCAAGUUUUCCGGUCUCCCCAAUCCGAGCUCGUCUCCGUCCCCCGUCUCAGUUAGCCGCGUUAUCAAAUCAAUUUCCCUUUAGGCGACAUCGUUAUUACUCAUACGCCGCCGCGGCCGCGCUGUCGAAAUGUUAGCAUGUGGCGUCGCCGCCGUCGUCGACGUCAUCGUACUAAUGGGUCAGUUUCGCCAUAUGCGAGAGCUUGCAUAAUUUAGCAUUCAUCGUCAGCAUGCCAGUCAACUAUGCACUCAACGCAAGCAACUGAACUUAAUUACUCAACUCAAUUCCAACUAAAUGCACCCAAAACUCUGUGUGAAGCCAGCGACGCCAACGCGACGCGUCCUGCACAGUUUAUGCUAGGCAGAGACGAGGCAAAUUAAAAAAACACAAACUGCAAACUUUUCGAGUGCCUCGAAUGGGUAGUCAUUGUCUGUCUUAAAUCGCACUAACAACAGGCUCGCAUUGUUUCAAGGCUGCAGCUGUAGCUCGUGUCGCUUAUCUGUGUGUGUGCACCUGUGCACAAAAUUCAUACUUACAACGCUGCCAAGUGGCACUUGGCUGGCAGCAGAGCCAACGUUAGCGCCAGCACCACCAACAGUACCAGCAGCAGCAGCAGCGGCGCCAACGUCAACGCGCACGUGCAACAUGCACGCAGUCAGGCAGCCACAAGGAAAGUGAAAACACUCGAAAGUGACUUUUCAGCACGUCAGGCUGACUGGUGAAGCGUAGGUAAGCUACGACGCUGUCGUCAUUGCCGUAGUCAUCUGCGAUAUUCUCACACGGCCAACGACAUUGCCAGCAAUCAGGCCGAGCGCCUACAUUCUUGCCUUACUCCGCCCCUUAGCGUCCGACCUCAGCCACCCGCCCACCUACGAGAAGAGCGCAGUCGAGCAAACACAAACAGUAUAAAAUCCAUUCAACCCACCUGACCCACUCCAGGCUCCGUUAACCGCCAACUAGCGCUUGCAACUGCAGCUCGCCGUGACAGCAACCACAAGCGACAAUAGCAACAAAACCAACAACAACAACAACAACUAUCCGCACAUAGCGUGAAACACAAAAGAGCUUAAAUUGAAUUCAAGUAAUAACGGCGCCCGCCCCCCUCACAUCACGUUCGUGUAUCGUGUGCAGUGUUUAGCCCCCCAUACAAAAGCCAACAGCGCAUAAAAUAUAUACACACAAAAGUAAAAAUCCAAAUAAAUUAUAAAUAAUAAUCAGAAGCAAAAUAAACAAAAGGAAACCCAUGAGCAGCAGCAUCAGCAGAAGCAGCAGCAGAACCCCGUUUGCAAUUAAUUCGAUCAAAAGUAAUUCAACAUCUCGGCCAAUUAAAUUUGGAUUAUUUGAAGUGAAAUCGUUUUCAGUGUCAGUUUGCUCUUAAUUAUCGCCGAACUGUGCGUUCUCUAUAAAUAUACCAAUUGUGGUCGAAAUAGACGCCACAUAUAAAUACAAAUCCGCAUAUCUAUAUCUAUCUAUAGAAUAAACUCAACUUGUUGCGUGGCGUGUGAUUUUAGUUGUUGUUGUUUUUGAAUAUAUAUAUUUUUUUCUUAUUUAUGCGAGUGCGUGUGAGAGUGUGUGUGUAUGUUGUGUUAAGUUUAUUGUUUCCUAAUUUUGUGUGAGUGUAUUUAGGUGCACUCUUUUGCAUGUGGCGCAAUUACUACCAAUUGCUUUUCUACACUAACAGUAGUUUUCUGUUAUCGCGAUAUAUGAACAAAAACAAAAACAAAAACCAAAUCAAAAAGAGAGACGUAGGAGCAACACACAAUACCUAAAACAUUCAUCGACAAACGCUGCUAGACGAACGCGCCAGCCAACAAAGCCGGCUCACAUGUGUGGGUUUCUCUAAAGUGGGUAAGUUUUUGUGUUCGUUAUUGGUGCAAAAAAGUUCCAUAGCAUGAACCAAGCUGUAAGUUUGCACUACGACGAGAAGGAAAACGUAGCGACCAUGAUGUCCUGCCCCUUACCUAUGCCAUUACCGAUACCAAUACCUUCAAUACAUAAAACUGAAUUCACACCGGUUCACAUUGGAGUCAAGG